GACGAACGCUGGCGGCGUGCUUAACACAUGCAAGUCGAGCGGUAAGGCCCUUUCGGGGGUACGACGAGCGGCGAACGGGUGAGUAACACGUGGGUGACCUGCCCUCAGCUCUGGGAUAAGCCUGGGAAACCGGGUCUAAUACUGGAUAUGACUCCAUGACGCAUGUUGUGGGGNGGAAAGCCUUGUGCGGCUGAGGAUGGGCCCGCGGCCUA
rnacentral:rRNA from 1 species